UUGAUGUUGGGUAAUAUUGACCUCUUUUGCUCAUCUGGACAUAUCCCUAGAUACCAAAUGUGUAGCAAGGCACUUCUCCACCCCUUAAACUAUCUGCAUCCAGCUCUGGAACUGUACCUCCCAUUCCAUGCAUUUUAGUGACCGCUACAUAUUUUUUUUUGGAGGGCCUGUACUACACAUUUGUGGUGGAAUACAGUGAUCCUAUUGAUUUGUCAAUCGCAAAAAUCCUGUUUAUUUUCACAGAGCCAGGAUUUCACCCUUGGUGGCUAAGAUAGGAGCACACCUUGAGCUGAGCUAAGAUGCCAUGCUCUAGCUCUAGGCAGGGUGAUUGUAUUGUGUGCUGGAACUUGCCAUCUCCACAAUCUACAUGUCCAUAUUAUGAAUGAAGUUGGUUGCAAGCUGUUCCAUUUUAUGCUGGUUUUGGGCAGCCUGGCAAAUUGUCAAUGUACCUCCCUCAGGUGGGCAGUUUUUUAGGUGCCUUUGUAUUAACCAACAGAGCCUUUCCCAUGCAAAUAUCACCCUUUUUAUAGACCCAGUUCCUUAUGUUCUUGUAAAAAUGAUUCAAAUAUAUCUCUUUCCCCUGGCCCUCAGGAUUGAAAUGAGAGAGAGAUGCUGAAGUCUAGUGAGUUUUAUUGUCUGAAAAAGAAAUAAAUAAAAUCAAAUAAUCUCACAGUCCACUGGAGGGCUAUAGUGAGUGCUGGAAAGGAUUUGUACUGCUUGCUGAGAGCGUAAUGAAGAAAGUGACUGUGGCAGAGAAAACAGCCCAUUCACUUUUUUUUAUCUGGAAGGGCAACAUUUUACAUCCCCCGAGUUAGGAAUUAUGGGGUCGUCAGCUAGAAGUACUGUUUGAUCUCCCUAUAUAAGGUGAAGGGAAUUUGUGAGAGAGAGAUUGUUGCAGGUACUGUAUUUUGAAAGGUGGCACCGAUAAGAACAGUGUCUCAGCAGCAGGUAGUUGAGAGUAUUUUGUGUAUUCUGUCUUUUGCUUUUAAAAUAUUUUUAAACCAGAGAAGUGUGUGGGUGUUGGUAGGAGAUGGUUUGGUGAGAGAGACAGAUACAAUGUCAGGGACAUUUAAAAGAGAGACUGCAAAUGGUGCUGUGCACUAGCAUCUGACUGAGAGACAGAAGCCUCCAGGGAGAAGAAAGGAAGGAAGAAGGGCCUAAAAGGGUUAUCUGGGAAGUGGUGGCUCAAAAUGGGUCCACCACAACCACUACUGCUAAUACUCAGGGGAAUGGUCUUUCCUCCCUUUAGAUAACGGGGUUGGAAGCUCUACUGUCAGCUCUUUGUGUUAUGAUUCUCUGAUAGCCCCAGUCGCCUCCAUGCUGGGCCUACCAUAUACACUGCCGUCCUGGCAUUGAGGUGUCUCAAAUGAGAAUCUAUGAGGCAUAACACAGUAGCUUGCUGCCUUCAAACACAACGGGCAACAGAGGACAACGAGAGCCGGCUCCCUCCUCCAGCCAAUGUCCUCACCUUUUUUGCUUUCUCAAUCCAGUCUUGUCCAUUGGAAUGCCCUGGACCCCAAAUUGAUCUGUGUAUCUUAGUUCUGAUGAACACUGAGUCCCCUUCUUAACAUAAUCAAUGCCACUCCUUGGUGGGGCCUUGGGGAUCUCCAAGUCCUAGAGCCUCCUGGGAAAUGUCUCUAUAGCCUUAUAGAUCAGUCCAGGCAUGCCGUGGAGACACUUUUACAGUAGAACCGCCAUCCUGGAACUCUGCUGACCAUCCUCACUUCCCUGCUUUCCCUGCUUCAGUUACCUGCUCGCGGUCUGCUGCACUAUCCUGCUUCAUCACCUCAUGGGGGAUCAUCAGAUAGGGAACUGAAGCACAGAGAGACUGUGAUUUGCCCAAAGUCAGGUGCAAAAGUCAGGAAUUGGACCCAAGAGCUUCCGAGUGCCAAUCACAAGACCAUCCUUCAUCAGCUCCCUAUACUGCCUAGACCAAGUGAGGGACUUAAGGACCUCUUGGAGGAGCACUCUUCUCUCUUUCUGAUGUCGACAUGGUCCCCCAUGGCUUUCUACCCUGCUGGUGUAAUUCAGGCAGAGCACACAAUGCAAUGCUGCUGAUUGGAGGGGUUGAUGAA